CCACAGUAGUGCCCGAGGCUGGAUGCCGAGCCGAUUACGGCGAAGUGGGUAAUCCUAAGCUGUCGAGAAAAGCCUCUAGCGAGUUCCAUAGCCGCCCGUACCCCAAACCGACACAGGUGGUCAGGUAGAGAAUACCAAGGCGAUCGAGUGAACCGUGGUUAAGGAACUCGGCAAAAUGCCCCCGUAACUUCGGGAGAAGGGGGGCCGGACGCGUGAACGGACUUGCUCCGGGAGCGUUGAAGGCCGCAGAGACCAGGGGAAAGCGACUGUUUAUUAAAAACACAGGUCCGUGCGAAGUCGCAAGACGAUGUAUACGGACUGACGCCUGCCCGGUGCUGGAACGUUAAGGGGACGGGUUAGCCUUUCGGGGCGAAGCUCAGAACUUAAGCGCCAGUAAACGGCGGUGGUAACUAUAACCAUCCUAAGGUAGCGAAAUUCCUUGUCGGGUAAGUUCCGACCUGCACGAAUGGCGUAACGACUUUCCUACUGUCUCAACCACGGACUCGGCGAAAUUGCACUACGAGUAAAGAUGCUCGUUACCCGCAGCAGGACGGAAAGACCCCGGGACCUUUACUAUAGUUUGGUAUUGGUGUUCGGUUCGGCUUGUGUAGGAUAGGUGGGAGACUAUGAAGCCGGCACGCCAGUGUCGGUGGAGUCAACGUUGAAAUACCACUCUGGUCGUACUGGAUAUCUAACCUCGGUCCGUGAUCCGGAUCAGGGACAGUGCCUGAUGGGUAGUUUAACUGGGGCGGUUGCCUCCUAAAGAGUAACGGAGGCGCCCAAAGGUUCCCUCAGCCUGGUUGGCAAUCAGGUGGCGAGUGCAAGUGCACAAGGGAGCUUGACUGUGAGACAGACAUGUCGAGCAGGUACGAAAGUAGGGACUAGUGAUCCGGCAGUGGCUUGUGGAAGCGCUGUCGCUCAACGGAUAAAAGGUACCCCGGGGAUAACAGGCUGAUCCUGCCCAAGAGUCCAUAUCGACGGCAUGGUUUGGCACCUCGAUGUCGGCUCGUCGCAUCCUGGUGCCGUAGCAGGUCCCAAGGGUUGGGCUGUUCGCCCAUUAAAGCGGUACGCGAGCUGGGUUUAGAACGUCGUGAGACAGUUCGGUCCCUAUCCGCUGCGGGCGCAGGAGACUUGAGAAGGGCUGUCCCUAGUACGAGAGGACCGGGACGGACGAACCUCUGGUGUGCCAGUUGUUCCGCCAGGAGCAUGGCUGGUUAGCUACGUUCGGAAGGGAUAACCGCUGAAAGCAUCUAAGCGGGAAGCCUGCUUCAAGAUGAGGUCUCCCACCACCAAGAGUGGGUAAGGCCCCCAGCUAGACCACUGGGUUGAUAGGCCGGACGUGGAAGCCCAGCAAUGGGUGAAGCUGACCGGUACUAAUAGGCCGAGGACUUGACUC
rnacentral:rRNA from 1 species